CAGCCGCCGCGGUAAUACGGAGGGUGCAAGCGUUAAUCGGAAUUCUGGGCGUAAAGCGCACGCAGGCGGUCUGACAAGUCAGAUGUGAAAUCCCCGGGCUUAACCUGGGAACUGCAUUUGAAACUGUCAGGCUGGAGUCUUGUAGAGGGGGGUGGAAUUCCAGGUGUAGCGGUGAAAUGCGUAGAGAUCUGGAGGAAUACCGGUGGCGAAGGCGGCCCCCUGGACAAAGACUGACGCUCAGGUGCGAAAGCGUGGGGAGCAAACAGGAUUAGAUACCCCGGUAGUCCCUGUCUCUUAUACA
rnacentral:rRNA from 1 species